AGAGUUUGAUCCUGGCUCAGGAUGAACGCUAGCGGCAGGCUUAACACAUGCAAGUCGAGGGGUAGAGGUUGCUUGCAACCUUGAGACCGGCGCACGGGUGCGUAACGCGUAUGCAACCUACCUUUUACAGAGGGAUAGCCCAGAGAAAUUUGGAUUAAUACCUCAUAGUAUAUAUCUUUCGCAUGUUAGGUAUAUUAAAGUUCCAACGGUAAAAGAUGGGCAUGCGUCCUAUUAGCUAGAUGGUAAGGUAACGGCUUACCAUGGCUACGAUAGGUAGGGGUCCUGAGAGGGAGAUCCCCCACACUGGUACUGAGACACGGACCAGACUCCUACGGGAGGCAGCAGUGAGGAAUAUUGGACAAUGGGCGCAAGCCUGAUCCAGCCAUGCCGCGUGCAGGAAGAAGCAUCUAUGGUGUGUAAACUGCUUUUGUACAGGAAGAAACAUCCCGACGUGUCGGGACUUGACGGUACUGUAAGAAUAAGGAUCGGCUAACUCCGUGCCAGCAGCCGCGGUAAUACGGAGGAUCCAAGCGUUAUCCGGAAUCAUUGGGUUUAAAGGGUCCGUAGGCGGUUUGGUAAGUCAGUGGUGAAAGCCCGCAGCUCAACUGUGGAACGGCCAUUGAUACUGCCAGACUUGAAUUACAAGGAAGUAACUAGAAUGUGUAGUGUAGCGGUGAAAUGCUUAGAUAUUACAUGGAAUACCAAUUGCGAAGGCAGGUUACUACUUGUGGAUUGACGCUGAUGGACGAAAGCGUGGGGAGCGAACAGGAUUAGAUACCCUGGUAGUCCAA
rnacentral:rRNA from 1 species